AGCCCCGUGGUGUAGCGGUCAAGCAUACUGGACUUUGGAUCCGGCGACCCAGGUUCGAACCCUGGCGGGGCUA
rnacentral:tRNA from 1 species